rnacentral:rRNA from 1 species
UACGAAGGGGGCUAGCGUUGCUCGGAAUCACUGGGCGUAAAGGGUGCGUAGGCGGGUCUUUAAGUCAGGGGUGAAAUCCUGGAGCUCAACUCCAGAACUGCCUUUGAUACUGAAGAUCUUGAGUUCGGGAGAGGUGAGUGGAACUGCGAGUGUAGAGGUGAAAUUCGUAGAUAUUCGCAAGAACACCAGUGGCGAAGGCGGACUCACUGGCCCGAGUACUGACGCUGAGGCACGAAAGCGUGGGGAGC